CCUCAUCUCAACCCUUAUCAAUCAAGAUUAAAACUCAGUGCAUGUGUGUGCUUCGUCCAGCGUCUGCAGGCUGCAUCCGUGCCUUCAGGCUCUGUUAAGGAGAGUCGUCCUAAAGGACCUUCACUUUCAAAGGAGGCGAUGAAGAGAGCUGAGAGAAGAAGCCCCUCAGAACCCACGUCCACAUGCAGUCAGUCUGCCUACCACACCAGUUGUCCCUUCCUUUCUAGGGGUACAACUGGGCCUGGGAAGGGACAGUGACUUCUGGUCUGGGCCUGUCCACAGGUCUCUGCUCCCUGGGGUUCUAGAGCUCACAGCUUGGGGACUGAGAAGCUUCCUGGUUCUGCAACACUAUCAGGGGGCUUCCAGAGCCCCAUCUCUCCUUGUUCUCAUCCUGUCACCUACCCACAGCCCACCCUCACGUACUCAGCCCUGUGGGCUCAGCUUCCCCUGUGAUCAGGCCUGCCUCCCAGGGCAACCCCCCAUGAGAGGAGAGGCCCUGGACAUGGGGAGUCAGGGUGACAUGUACAGUGUAGGGAGGUGGGUGUGCUGCCCUGGGGAGCCGGGCCUCACCUUCCUCGCUGUAGAUGGGUGCCGUGAGCAGGUAGUUCUGAAUCUUCUUGUCCUUCUCGAAGGGACACUCUACCUGAGUCCAUGUCAUGAACUCAUGGAUCUGUCUGGAGAUUUCCCAAAAUUUCUGAAGGCACAGAAGACCAACUGGAUGUUCAUUUGUCACCUUAAGCUUGAAAUCCUUGGUUCGGGCAGGGGAUGUAGGUUCCGGUUUCAUUCUGUGCCCCAGCAAGAUGGGACGGUGACCCUGCUCAGCUGACUUUGUGGCCACGGCAGCACUUCAUGCAGCAUCAGAGCCAGUAAGUGUCCCCAAGACCACUCGGUCCUGCACUUUGCCUAGGCCCGAGGCUGCAGCAGGGUCUGUGCCUCCCCCGUGCAAGACCCCAAGAGGGCCCCAUCGGGGACUCCAGGCUGAGGCAGGUAUGCCAGCCAUACCCAGCACAGCACCACCAACCUGAACGUGUCAUGAUCUCAUUCUCUGGGGAGCUGUAGGGGAAACGGGGCUGUCCAGUACUUACCUCACACAGGUAAGGGGUAGGAAAGAGUUAUGGAUUCUUACACAGGCCCCCAUAACCUUUGUCCUACCUUCCCACCGUUGGCCAGCUACCCUUGGUUUCCAUCUGUAAUUCUGCUGCCUCCUCCCUGCUCAAGUACCUUCUUGCCUAAAGCCUUCCUCACUCCCAAACCCCCAGAAGUAGCGCCUUCUGUGUCUCCCUGGUGGGGUCAGUGUUGGGGCCACCCUUAUACUUCACAAACAGCACAUAUAACCCACCCUGGAGCUUUCAGUCCUAAAGGCCUUUCUGCAAAGGGCCACUGCUUUUCAGCUCUAGUAGCACAGAUUCUUCCUGCCCUAGGAUAAGGCUGAGAGGUCUGUUCUGCCCUGUGUUGGGACAGUCUGGCCCCCCUCCCCUCAGGCCACAAGGGUGCUGAGCUCACCUUAAAGUUAACAUGCCCGUUGGGCAAGUGAUUGGUAUGGAUUUUGUGCAGGAAGUAAAUGUCCUUAACGAAAAGGUUGAAUACAGGGAUAACAAUCUUCUCUCUGCUGCUGUUGGCCAUCUGGGACCUUUGAGUGGCCCCCUGCAGGGCAGUGCGGUAGUUGCAGAAGUUGCUGGAUGGGUCCAUGUGGUGCUGUGGGCAGACAGGAGGACCUGGUUGGCUGUGUUCUCCCUGUACGCCUGACUUGUUCAGAAUGCCCCUUCGCAGAGCAGGAAACAGCGAUGGGGAAGGCAUUUCCCUGCUGGGCAGCCCUGGACUGUCACCAGAAGAGGCCUCCUUUCUGGGAGUGAGCACCUGGCUGAGUACCGGGUUUGGAUCCAAACAUGAGGAAAGUUACAGAGAAGUCUCACAGCUCACACACACCUCUUCCCUGCCCUGCUGAGCCUGGGUCUCACUUCUUUCCUUUCAAAACCUUCCUUUGCCCUUCUACUUGGACCAACACCUCCCAAAACUGACGAGCUCUGUAGGACACAUUUGCAAAAAGUGGAUUCUGUGAUCAAAUACUUCAGGGAAGGCUGCAGGUGAACCUACCCACUCUUGGGCCACCCGGAUGAUCCAGGACCGCAGGAACUCAAGCCAGGAAAAGGCCAGCCUCUGCUUCGUCAGCAUCACCCAACACCCCAGCAACACCCUGGGACCCACUUUUUUCAAACUCUUUCCUAACCACUCUCUAGAACUUGCCUUAGGCAAUGCCAGUUCUGCCUAAAGUUCCAAGGGCCGAGGAGAGCUUCAGCUACCCACCUCCUAGAGCAGCCAGGCCAGCUCAACAUGCCCUACACCAGAUGGCACUGUGGGCAGUGGAUUCUGAGCAAGGGGGCAGAGUGGAUGAGGCCCACCCCUCCUCAGGCCAAUGUAGGACAUGGCUGAGGUGCUUACCUCCAAGACGUCAAACUUGGCCGUCUUGACUUUGGACCACGUUUUCUUCAGCCUCGCCACAGGACUGAGGUUCAUGCCAGCUGCAGGGAACAGCAGGUGGAGUCAGGGUGGGGUUAGGUAGGCCAUGCAGAAGCUGGAUAGGAAGCCCCUGGGGCCUGGCCACUCACAGAUGAUGGCCAUCAUGGAGUUGAAAUUCCCGAUGUUGAAGCACUCCCGGGCCACAUCAAUAAAGAACUCUAGCAUGCGG